GCUUUACUGGUCCAAAAUCCUUUUCUGGAAAAUUGGAUUCCCAACUAUCUGAGGAACUUCAUUUACAUAGAAAAAAUCAAUUGUUCAAUUUCCACAGAAUUUUCUUAUUUUUCCUCUUUCCUCAUGGAUGCUAUAUUUAUUCAUUCAGGGUUAUAUGGAAUAAUGAACCUCCAAUGGCUGGAGGAAUUAUGACUGUUGUCCAUCGGGAACAGAGGAGAAAGUAGGAUAAUGUUGUUAUAGAGCCAGAAAGUCACAGGAGAAGGAGGUGCAGGUGGUUGAAGGGGUCAACGAAAUGAUUGACUGUGACACGGGAGCUGUUCAUUUCCCAUUUCUUACAGUGAACUUUUUUUUUCAAGCCAUGAUUGUGCAAUAACCAUAACCAAGUAGUUCUUUUAACCCAAACCAUGAUCUUUCUCUAACCUUAACCAAAGUCAUUUUUGUGCCCAAACUUAACAGUGUAUUUUUGUAAGAUCAGAAAAAAACUUUGCAACUUUGAUGUUGUAACAGUUUUUGAAGGCACUGAUAGAAUAAUGUUGUCCUGCUGUGGUCGUGUCAGACCAGAAAACAGAUGUGUGUCUUUCUGGAGGGCAAUUACAAACAACAUAUUUUGUCGUUUAAUUUAAAGGACUUGUUUCUUGACACUUAGGGUUUUAACCUUAAAACCAGCUAUUUAACAUUUUCACAAGAACCUACAGCAAUUUAACAGUUAAAUUAUAGAUUGGAAUUCUUAUUUUAGAAAUAUAAACUAUAAACAUAUGCUGUCAUUGUAUGGUUGAACACAAGAAAAUGUGGUUGUUUAUGCAUACAAACAAGAAGUUUAUCUGACAUUUAAUUGGAAUUUUUUGAGACAAAUGUCUUUAUCUUGUGGAUAUCCAGGAAAGAGCUAAACUGCAGCUUACUCAUAGGUUAAGCUUAACUUUAAACUGCACACAGAUGCCUAAGAAUAUAUCCUGACUUUCAUCCUAAUAUGUAGGUAGGAAAAAAGACUGAAAUUACACAAUAUCACAAACCCAACCUAUCCAUUUCCAGUGACAAUGUGCAGCUGUUUCCCUUGAAGCAGGGAAGUGUAUUAUAAGACCUGCCUUCCUUCCUCCUCCUCAUGUGAAGGAGGAGACGUGGCCAUGACAAAAAAAAGACAGAUCUGCCGUUGGUCAAUGCAGCUUUCUCUUAAAUUUACAUUUUUGUGGGAGAAGUGAGCAGGCGAAAUAAUAGAAAGACAUAAACUGACUCAUGUUGAAAUCAACACGUUGUGGAGCAAAGUAACCCAAUGGUCAGGUUUUUUUUUUUCUCAUUUUAUUUUACAAAGCAGUCACCACAGAAAGUAUGAUGUUUUUUGGUAAAUGAGUGCAUUUUAACCUAAAAGCCUUCUCUAGUGUAUCAUAUAAUUUUCAAGCCUUUAAUUUCAGCUGUGACAAAAUAACAGGUGCACCUCACAAAUUAUUGAAAAGGCUUUCAGAGCAGUUGACCCAACCAGCUACUCCAUAGAGACAGAGCAUCAUAAAACUGUCACAGCAGUGUGAUCACCUCCCUUCUUUUCCUAUCCCCUGUAUACUUAUCAAAGACAAUAAAAUUGAAAUGAAAUUUAGUAGCUAUAGCCGCAUGAAGAUACCAGAUAGAUUAACACACCCAAGACACAAGAAAGAUAAGUUCCUCGUCAGUUAUGUAGAUAGUAAAAUAACUAAAUCAGGUCAUCUGGGCAGUAUGCAAAACUGACAGAACAGGUUUACUGGACAACUGACGCGUGUUUUACAGAUGACAGAGUGUGAAAGGAGAAGUAUUUGCAUGAUGUCAUCUUUCCUCAGACCUUAUCUUUUAAAGAUCAUCAGUCAAUGCACAUGGUGGCAUGACUUGUGAUGUCGUCCUCCCCUCCAGCAGCAGAUCAUCAACAGGUAAAUUCAGAUUCGUGGCUCAGUGGAGACAUUCCUCUCCUCUGUAACAGUACCUUAUUAAACUUCAGCACAAAUAAGACCAUCAUUUUCAAUGUUAAUUAACACAAUAAAAACUACAUAAUAAGACCUUUAGAUUUUGUCCAAGUUUCCCUAUUUGGUGCUCUUACCUAAGUUGUAACUGCUCACGGGAACUACGUCGUCCCUCCAAAGCUGUUUCCCAAACCAGAGGACACCUACUUCAGAGUCCAUUUUUCCAAGACCAAAAACAGAACAGUAUAGCAGGUUGAAAAGACCUGUCUUAAUCCUCUAAAAGUAUCCUCUAAACAUGAUGGCACAUAUCCAGUGGAUCCUGAACAGCCCUCAAUAUUUCAAAAGCCAGUCACUUCAAUGUCGUGCAGUCCUCGACAACUUGUAAAAUGAGGAAAUGUUGCAACCAUGUUUUUCUUUAUGGGGACAUAGCAUGCUUUUUGCGAUUUUCUGUCAUUUAUAUACUGUUAAAAUGUCGGAUGUCUAUGCUAAAAAUAGUCAAAGUUCCAAAACUUGAGGUGAACUUAUGUGUGAACUUAAUGAAUUCUCUAUUUGCAAGUUACCUCUACUUCUCCAUCGGUAAGACGUCAGAUUGUUCGCACAUGCCUACGAAUGACAGUCAGUUCCAUUGUCUUUGUUUCUAAGGGCUCAUUUAUGCUCCCUUUAUGUACGAAAAUAAAUGCGUCCAUUUCAAACGAUGUAACCAUCACUGUCCACAAACUUCCAUGCAUCCUUUAUGUUGGCAUGGAUGUUGAGCAAUACAUCCACUAGAGUCGGAGUCACAAGUUUCGGACAACAAACAUGGCGACAGUGGAGAAGGUCAUUACAAGGUACCUGUUAAGAAAGAGGCAAAAGCGGAGGCAGUUUUCCAAUACUUUCAGAUGUCCGCCGGGGCAUUCGAUAACUUGCUUUGCCAGGUGAACCAUCACAUCAAGCAUGGGAAUUCACACCAUGCGCCUGUGAGUGAGGCUGAGCGACUAGCUGUCACCAUCCGCUUUCUCACUUCAGGGAUCAGCCAGCAAGCUUUGGCAGCAAGUUACAAGCUGGGUUCUGCAACUGUGAGCUGCAUUGUCAGGGAGGUGUGCCAUGCUGUAUGUGAUUGGGCUCAGGGAUGAGUUUGUGGCCUUUUCAGAGGAAGAACAGUGGGAUGUAAUCAGGAGGGAGCUGUGAAAUUAUCCCAACUGCUUCGGGGCUAUAGAUGGUAAACAUAUCAGAGUGAGAGCACCAGCCAACAGUGGCGGUAGUUUAUAUAACUACUUAAGUUUCUUUAGUUUUAUCUUGAUGGCAGUCUGUGAUGCAAGGUACAAAUUCAGAUACGUCAAUAUUGGCGCUUAUGGCAGAGAGAGUGAUGCUGGAGUCUUCUCGAGAAGCCGCUUUGGAUCCCAGCUCAUCCAGGGCAAGCUUCAUCUUCCACCCACAGCUCCCCUGCCUGGACUGAGAUAAUCACUCCACCUGUCGUUGUGGGUGAUGAAGCAUUUCCACAGAAGGUGAACCUGAUGCCACCAUAUUCAGGUGGAGGAGGAGGAGGAGGAGGAGGAGGGCUUGCCACACCAGAGGAUGAUAAUGUACCUGAGCUUGAUGCAGGUGAAGAAGAUAAUUGACAAACUUCAAGUACUGGCCUCCCCAUCAUGUUCUGGUGGCUAGAACAACAGAGAAGCCACAUGCAAGGCAUUGGCAGUGUGAAUCAAUAGGUGCCAAGUUGUUUUUUGUGCAAUUCAUAUUUAUUUACAAAGUAGUCAAUAAAAACAUGAAUCAUUUAUUAACAA